AUACGUAGGUGACAAGCGUUAUCCGGAUUUACUGGGCGUAAAGGGCGUGUAGGCGGUCUUGCAAGUCAGAAGUGAAAUUCCUGAGCUCAACUCGGGCGCUGCUUCUGAAACUGCAGGACUUGAGUGCUGGAGGGGAUAGCGGAAUUCCUAGUGGAGCGGUAAAAUGCGCAGAUAUUAGGAAGAACACCGGUGGCGAAGGCGGCUAUCUGGACAGUAACUGACGCUGAGGCGCGAAAGCUUGGGGAGCAAACAGGAUUAGAUACCCGGGUAGUCCACGCCGUAAACGAUGAAUACUAGGUGUAGGGGGUAUCGACUCCCUCUGUGCCGCAGUUAACACAAUAAGUAUUCCGCCUGGGGAGUACGGCCGCAAGGUUGAAACUCAAAGGAAUUGACGGGG
rnacentral:rRNA from 1 species